rnacentral:lncRNA from 10 species
CGUUGGGUUAAUCAAUUGUUCUUUGGAGCAGCUUGGACACCUUUAGAGGGUGGGCUCUAUAGGUGAAAGAACGGCAGGCGGACCGACCAGAAGUUCGUGCUCUGAUGGCCGGGGAUGUGCAGAACUAGAGGAUGCGGAGCCGAUUGACAGCAGGCCUGAGAGAGAGGGGCAGCCAUGUCCUGAGCAGCCCUGUGGAGAGACCCACCAGCUAAGGAACUGAAGCCUCCUGCCAACCCCUAUGUGAAUGAGCUUGGAAGUGGAUCUUUCAGACCUCUGCAGAGAAUCCAGCCUUUUCCGAGGCUGCAGCCCCUGUGGAAAGCUUGACUACAGUCUUAUGAGAUAGCCUGAACUGGAUCCAUCCAGCUAAGCUGCACCCAGAUUCUUGACCUUCAGAAACCAUCUGAGAUAAUAAAUAUUUCUUAUUUUAAGCCUCUAAGUUUCAGGGUAAUUUGUUAUCCAGCAAUAGAUAACUAACAACCCCCACAAAUUGCUUAUAAAUUGCAUUAAAAAUAGUUAUUCAGUAGAGAAAUCUGACAGGGCCUUAACCUGGUGAUCAAAAUCACUAACGAGGGGACACACGGACAUCGUGUACCUCCAGAUGGGUUACCCUGAGAACAGA